rnacentral:rRNA from 1 species
GAUGAACGCUAGCGGCGGGCUUAACACAUGCAAGUCGAGGGGAAAGCCCUUUCGGGGGCAGAAAGCGGGGCAGGGGAGAGGAAGGCGUAUGCGAGAUAACUUUGACCGUGGCAUAGGCAGAAGGUCUUGAGACUAAUACUCAAUCAUGUUAUGGGAUGGCGCUAUAUGGUGAUUGAAGGUACGGUGCUGCAAUUUGGGAUGGCGUCCUAUUGGCUAGUUGGAGUGGUGAGGGCAUCCCAAGGCUACGAUAGGUAGGGGUCCUGAGAGGGAGAUCCCCCACACUGGUACUGGGACAGGUACCAGACUCCUACGGGAGGCAGCAGUGAGGAAGAUUGGUCAAUGGUCGGAAGACUGAACCAGCCAUGCCGCGUGCAGGAAGAAUGCCUGAUGGGUUGUAAACUGCUGUUAUAUGGGAAGAAUAAGGCGUACGUGUACGUUGAUGACGGUACCAUAUGAAUAAGCAUCGGCUAACUCCGUG